GUCGAGCGGAUGAAGAGAGCUUGCUCUCUGAUUCAGCGGCGGACGGGUGAGUAAUGCCUAGGAAUCUGCCUGGUAGUGGGGGACAACGUUUCGAAAGGAACGCUAAUACCGCAUACGUCCUACGGGAGAAAGCAGGGGACCUUCGGGCCUUGCGCUAUCAGAUGAGCCUAGGUCGGAUUAGCUAGUUGGUGAGGUAAUGGCUCACCAAGGCGACGAUCCGUAACUGGUCUGAGAGGAUGAUCAGUCACACUGGAACUGAGACACGGUCCAGACUCCUACGGGAGGCAGCAGUGGGGAAUAUUGGACAAUGGGCGAAAGCCUGAUCCAGCCAUGCCGCGUGUGUGAAGAAGGUCUUCGGAUUGUAAAGCACUUUAAGUUGGGAGGAAGGGUUGUAGAUUAAUACUCUGCAAUUUUGACGUUACCGACAGAAUAAGCACCGGCUAACUCUGUGCCAGCAGCCGCGGUAAUACAGAGGGUGCAAGCGUUAAUCGGAAUUACUGGGCGUAAAGCGCGCGUAGGUGGUUUGUUAAGUUGGAUGUGAAAGCCCCGGGCUCAACCUGGGAACUGCAUUCAAAACUGACAAGCUAGAGUAUGGUAGAGGGUGGUGGAAUUUCCUGUGUAGCGGUGAAAUGCGUAGAUAUAGGAAGGAACACCAGUGGCGAAGGCGACCACCUGGACUGAUACUGA
rnacentral:rRNA from 1 species